UCGGGGAACGGGGAAUCGGGGAAUAUCAUAUCCCCCCUUUUAAAGAUCUUUAAAAGGGGGAAUAUUCCAAUAUUCUUUAAAAGGGGGAAUAUUCCAUAUUCCCCCUUUUAAAGAUCUUUAAAAGGGGGAAUAUGAUAUUCCCCGAUUCCCCGAUUCCCCGU